rnacentral:tRNA from 1 species
UCCGGGGUAGCUCAAUGGUAGAGCAUUCGGCUGUUAACCGAAGGGUUGUGGGUUCGAGUCCCACCCCCGGAG